AAUUGCCUAGAUAAUAUGGUUUGUCAUUUUGAAAAACCUACUGAUUAACGAUAUUGGGAAUCUAAUUUGCUAGUGGUGUUGAAUGCUUGUUUAAAAACAAGAAUCCUAAAACUAGUAAUGUGAUGCCCACCUGGGAGACUAGGUUUUUAAUCGUUAAGACGCCGAUUAUUUGGGCUUUUU
rnacentral:other from 1 species